rnacentral:rRNA from 1 species
UGGGGAAUUUUGCGCAAUGGGCGAAAGCCUGACGCAGCGACGCCGCGUGGAGGAUGAAGGCCCUUGGGUCGUAAACUCCUGUCAGGUGGGAAGAAAAGCCUCGAGUGAACAGCUCGGGGACUUGACUGUACCACCGGAGGAAGCCCCGGCUAACUCCGUGCCAGCAGCCGCGGUAAUACGGAGGGGGCAAGCGUUGUUCGGAAUCAUUGGGCGUAAAGGGCGCGUAGGCGGCCGACCAAGUCGGGUGUGAAAUCCCUCGGCUCAACCGAGGAACUGCAUUCGAUACUGGCUGGCUAGAGUCCGGGAGGGGAUGGUGGAAUUCCCAGUGUAGCGGUGAAAUGCGUAGAUAUUGGGAAGAACACCGGUGGCGAAGGCGGCCAUCUGGACCGGUACUGACGCUGAGGCGCGAAAGCCAGGGGAGCGAA